CCCAGACUCCUACGGGAGGCAGCAGUGGGGGAUAUUGCACAAUGGGGGGAACCCUGAUGCAGCGACGCCGCGUGGGUGAAGGAGCGUUUCGGCGCGUAAAGCCCUAUCGGCAGGGAAGAAGGAGGACGGUACCUGACUAAGAAGCCCCGGCUAACUACGUGCCAGCAGCCGCGGUAAUACGUAGGGGGCAAGCGUUAUCCGGAUUUACUGGGUGUAAAGGGGGCGCAGACGGCAGCGCAAGCCAGGAGUGAAAGCCCGGGGCCCAACCCCGGGACUGCUCUUGGAACUGCGCGGCUGGAGUGCAGGAGGGGCAGGCGGAAUUCCUAGUGUAGCGGUGAAAUGCGUAGAUAUUAGGAGGAACACCAGUGGCGAAGGCGGCCUGCUGGGCUUUUACUGACGCUGAGGCUCGAAAGUGUGGGGAGCAAACAGGAUUAGAUACCCGCGUAAC
rnacentral:rRNA from 1 species